rnacentral:misc_RNA from 1 species
GAAUUUUCAAGGUUCCUCCGAGCCUUUUGAGUUUUUUUGGGAGAGAUGGGGCAAGAUAAAACCCUUGUUAGACCUUCUUCUCUCCCUCCAAGCAAAGAAAGGCCCUUUCUAGACCUAGAGAGUGUGGGGUCGCUCCUCUUCACCUCUGAGUGGGGUGUAUAUAUUAUUUGGAUUUAGCCUCUAGACCUUUUGCUUUUGGUGAGGGCUUUUGUAGAUCUAUGCUGUGCUUUGGUAUUGAGCUUGGUCAUAGCCGAAGCAAAGAAUGGAUUUUUAUGCAGUGUCCAAAGAUGGCCUUCAGUUGGGGGUUAAAAAUGCUAUUAGAGCCCCUCGCUCAGAGUUUGGCUUUAUUGUAUUCGUUUGGUGAUGUCUCUGUAUUUGGCUCAGUGUUGCUUGCUCAGACUAGGGUUGGACUUAUUACUUUCUCAUGUGGUAAAGGAGGCGACGAUGAAGCUAUUAGAGUACUUCUCUGGGGUCUCUUGAGUUUUACUGUACUAUUCCUUUUAUGUUUUUGGCGUUCACUGGAGUUGGUUGUUUUGACUCUUGUUCUACUAAGAGGUGGUGUUGGUGGUUGUGGAUUUACGCCUAUAGGGUGUUUUCAUCUCGGUUGCCGAUGGUGCUCUGUAAGGAAUUGCGGUGAAGAUCCUUACACUCCUUCUUAGGAAAGCUUCUAGAGUUUCUUACUAGAAGCCAUCUGGUGGUGGGGUUCAUAUGCGAGCUUUGAGUUUGUUUCGUUUCUUGUUUGAGAUGGGCUUGGGAGUUUAACAAUCCGCCUCUUGUAUUUUCUCUU